GCACAAGCGGUGGAGCAUGUGGUUUAAUUCGAGGCAACGCGAAGAACCUUACCAGGUCUUGACAUCCCCUGACAACCCAAGAGAUUGGGCGUUCCCCUUCGGGGGGACAGGGUGACAGGUGGUGCAUGGUUGUCGUCAGCUCGUGUCGUGAGAUGUUGGGUUAAGUCCCGCAACGAGCGCAACCCUCGCCUCUAGUUGCCAGCAUUCGGUUGGGCACUCUAGAGGGACUGCCGGCGACAAGUCGGAGGAAGGUGGGGAUGACGUCAAAUCAUCAUGCCCCUUAUGACCUGGGCUACACACGUGCUACAAUGGGCGGUACAAAGGGCUGCGAACCCGCGAGGGGGAGCGAAUCCCAAAAAGCCGCUCUCAGUUCGGAUUGCAGGCUGCAACUCGCCUGCAUGAAGCCGGAAUCGCUAGUAAUCGCGGAUCAGCAUGCCGCGGUGAAUACGUUCCCGGGCCUU
rnacentral:rRNA from 1 species